AGUGGAAUAACUGGGUCAAAUGGUGUUUCCAUUCCAAGAUUUCUGAGUAAUUUCCAAACUGCUUUCCAGAGUGGUUGAACCAAUUUGCAGUCCCAUCAGCAAA
rnacentral:pre_miRNA from 1 species